GACGAACGCUGGCGGCGUGCUUAACGCAUGCAAGUCGAACGAUGAAGAAGAGAAACGCGAACUUCGGUUCAAAUUUCACUUCGGAUUAGUGGCAGACGGGUGAGUAACGCGUGAGCAACCUACCUCUUACAAAGGGAUAGCCUCGGGAAACCGUGAUUAAUACCAUAUGACACAUUCAUAAGGCAUCUUAAGAAUGUUAAAGCUACGGCGGUAAGAGAUGGGCUCGCGUCCCAUUAGCUAGUUGGUGAGGUAACGGCCCACCAAGGCGACGAUGGGUAACCGGCCUGAGAGGGUGAACGGUCACAUUGGAACUGAGACACAGUCCAAACUCCUACGGGAGGCAGCAGUGGGGAAUAUUGCACAAUGGAGGGAACUCUGAUGCAGCGACGCCGCGUGAGCGAUGAAGGAAUUCGUUUCGUAAAGCUCUGUUCUAUGGGAAGAAAAGGACUGUACCAUAGGAGAAAGCCCCGGCUAAAUACGUG
rnacentral:rRNA from 1 species